AGCAGCCGCGGUAAUUCCAGCUCCAAUAGCGUAUAUUAAAGUUGUUGCAGUUAAAAAGCUCGUAGUUGAAUUUCGGGAUCAGUAGGUCGGUCGUGCCACUGGUAUGAACUGGUCUCACUGGUUCCUCCCUCUUGACGAACUGCAAUGCUAUUAAUUUAGUGUAGUAGGAAAUCAGGACUGUUACUUUGAAAAAAUUAGAGUGUUUAAAGCAGGCUUUGGCUUGAAUACAUUAGCUUGGAAUAAUGAAAUAGGACGUUCGAUCCUAUUUUGUUGGCUUCUAGGAUUGACGUAAUGAUUAAUAGGGACAGUUGGGGGCAUUAGUAUUCAAUUGUCAGAGGUGAAAUUCUUGGAUUUAUUGAAGACUAACUACUGCGAAAGCAUUUGCCAAGGAUGUUUUCAUUAAUCAAGAACGAAAGUUAGGGGAUCGAAGACGAUCAGAUACCGUCGUAGUCUUAACCAUAAACUAUGCCGACUAGGGAUCGGAUGAUGUUAAUUUUUAAUGACUCAUUCGGCGUCCG
rnacentral:rRNA from 1 species